rnacentral:rRNA from 1 species
AGUGAACGCUGGCGGUAGGCCUAACACAUGCAAGUCGAACGGCAGCACAGUAAGAGCUUGCUCUUACGGGUGGCGAGUGGCGGACGGGUGAGGAAUACAUCGGAAUCUACUUUUUCGUGGGGGAUAACGUAGGGAAACUUACGCUAAUACCGCAUACGACCUACGGGUGAAAGCAGGGGAUCUUCGGACCUUGCGCGAUUGAAUGAGCCGAUGUCGGAUUAGCUAGUUGGCGGGGUAAAGGCCCACCAAGGCGACGAUCCGUAGCUGGUCUGAGAGGAUGAUCAGCCACACUGGAACUGAGACACGGUCCAGACUCCUACGGGGGGCAGCAGUGGGGAAUAUUGGACAAUGGGCGCAAGCCUGAUCCAGCCAUACCGCGUGGGUGAAGAAGGCCUUCGGGUUGUAAAGCCCUUUUGUUGGGAAAGAAAGGCAGCAGGUUAAUACCCCGCUGUUCUGACGGUACCCAAAGAAUAAGCACCGGCUAACUUCGUG